rnacentral:lncRNA from 1 species
UAUUAUAUGAAUGUUUUAGACAACGAAAUUAAGCACCGGUGAAGCUUGGUGGCUUGUAGGCGAUGAAACUGAUGCACUGGACUUGACGGUUGUUGUCGAAUCCGAUGAUUCUAAUGAAAGCGUUAGGGUAUUCCGUCUUGCACUCUUGCACUUCCUUCAACACUUGAGCAGAGUCAGUGCAUCCGAACAAAGGAAGUUUCCACAUUGUCCAGUAACGUCCGUCGUAGUAUCCGGGUGUGUUUCCGUGUUCACGGUAUACAAAUCCAUGCUAUACACACAUGAAAAUAUAAUUCAAAUUUAGAAUUUAUCUUUUGUAAUAAAGGAUAUUGAAAGCUUUUAUUUUUAUUACUUCCAAUUCGAAUUCAACACAAGGAAUCCACUUGUUGCGAAGAAGAUAGUCAACUUCCUUAGACAAUUCGACGUCAGUAAGAUCAGGAAGGUAAGAGAGAGUCUCAAACUUCUUCUUCCCGACUGGUGGCCACACCUAUAAAUCGCAUUUCCAAUUAAUAAAUAUUAGUUACAUUUUAUACAUACUGAUUACACACAUCUUACCAACUCAAGCUACGUUACAUAGCUAUUGUUUAAUUGGAUUCAUGUUGGAAUGUACCAGUUUCAUAUCACAAAGAAAAACGGCCUACAAUGAAUUCGAGUGAUAUUUACCUUCAUGCAGUUAACUCUUCCUCCAUUGCUUGCGAUGGAAGUAAUGUCAGUGUUGGUCUUGCGAGUGACUGGGAAUGCAGCGGAUGACUUCAAGCCUGUGAAUGGAGCAACCAUGGCCGCUUGAGCCGGUGAGCUAACCACGGUGGCAGAGGAGAGCAUAGAGGAAGCCAUUACGUACUAGUUCUUCUCUUCUUCUUCUUCUUUUUCUCGAAAGCGUUUCUUCUCCAGAAAUUCAGCCGCUCGGAGCGUAAACAGGUAAAAACACUAGCUUUUAACCUAUGUCUCGCCAGUCAAUUGAUGGUCUCUGAAAGUCUGACACGUUUUUGGACUAAUGACAUUCUACGGCUGUUUUGUUCAUGGAACCUAAAUGGUUAUGUUGAACUGAAUCAUUUUAGAUUGAUGCGGGGAUGGAACAAGGUGUUGAUGCCGUGAAGACGCUCGUUGAAUAUGGAUUCAACGACGCAAUAUCUCGAUUCAAUUUGGGGCAGAAAUACAAGUUCCACACAAUCUGAUUAUCUUCACUUUAGCUUCGUCUUGGACCAUACAUGCCACAGUAAGCAUGUAACAACAUAGUCCAACAUUAUACUGUUAGUAUCAUUAGUCUUUUAUCUUAGAGGUAGGUUAUAUUGUAAACUGAAGAUCAUUUUCAAACUCUGAUCAAGAGGACCAACAAGCGGACAAGGAGGACCAAAAGUAGCUGAACAAUAUUGUAAACCGAAAAUUUUCAAUUGGGUUUGGUUAAGCAGAUAGAUUUGUCGGCUUAGAUAGCCAAUACAAAAGAACCUCGGCACCUUUCUCCCAUGAACAGUCAAGCAUCAUAUCAUGAGCAACACCUUCAAUACAAACCGGCUCAACCUCAUAAAACCUCCCGGUUUCCUUCAGUCCUUCGUCGUCCUGUAAAACCAUAACCCACUCCGGUUUAAUACACAUACCAAGAUUUUAAAACUUUCUGGUUCAGGUAGCAAAGAGGGGUGCGUUUUGUAGCUCGUACCACUAUGAAAUCAUCUUUGGCACCUAAAACCAGAACGUUUGUCCAAUUUUCCUUUGGUUUUGGUACCGGAAGUGAUGCGUUUAGCUUUUUGAGAUCAAACAACGGCAUCCUUGAACUCUCUUUCAUCAGAUCCUGGUAACUGAAUCGUAAUAACAGGACAAAGAACUCAAGAAGAUGAUUGAGAUUUUGCUUAAGAUCCAAGGGUACUUAUGAGUAUAUACCGCUGCACGAGGUGAUCAUCCAUGGCUGAAGAGAAGAAGGUUUCCCGACAAAGAGGAAUAGAUGUCUGAAAACGCUUAGCGGCUAAACUGAGAGUUACCUGCUCAAAAACACAACCAAGAGAACCAACAUUUUUUGUAACAAAACAGAACAUGGCACAUUAACCAACCCUUAAAAGAUGAAAGAGCGGAGAAAGAGUUUACCUUAAAGGCUGCUACGGGUUUAGAAAAGAGAUAGCGUAACACUAACCCGCUGAACAAGAAAGAUAGUCUUUAUAAGUUACAUAUAUGAGCUAAACAAAAAGAAUAAGAACCCUCUCUGAGGAGAGGUACCUAUUACCCGAAGGUGGCACCGAACAAACUAGUACAGCCCCUGAAAGGUCUGGAUAUGCAUUUGUAGCGUCUGUAACUGAAACCAGUUAUUGCGUAGGCCCCAUUUUAUUACAGCUGCUCCAAGAAAACAACAAGCAGUUUUAUGAAUUAGACUUACCUAACGGCUGUUUAUUUGAGAUAUUCGCCAAGUAAUAUUGAACAAUGAGCCCUCCAAAAGAAUGACCGAUAAGAACAGGAGGAAGCGAAGAGCUAAGGUUUGAUUCGAUGAAGUUCGCAAUAUCACUUGCGUGCGUCUAUUCCACAAACAAGUAAAAUAAAUUUACGAAUCUUGCACAUUUGUAAUGAAAAAUCAGAGUUUCAAGUACCUCAAGUGUUCCAGCAACAGUUCCCAAAGGCUCAUCACUUUCACCCUGAAGAACUCAAAGAUCACUUGGAAAAUUCUAAAAUUGAGAAUUGUAAAUGAGAAAGGAGUUUCUACCUGAGCUAAUAAGCUGAUGGCAUAAGAGUCAAACCCAGAAGAAGAGAAGAAAGGUAACCAAUGCUCAGCCCAGCACCAAGCUGCGUGGUAGCUUCCAUGUACAAAAACCAAUGGUGGGUUCUCUUUCUCUUUCUCGCUUCUUCUUUUUUCGUUUUUCUCUUUUCUCUGCUCGAUGACCUCCAUUUUUAGACCAGAGGGAAGCUUAUGGUAAAGACGGUUCUGCCCCUUCUUCAGCUCAUAUGUCGUGGAGGAUUUGCUGAGAGCUGCCAUUGGCUUGAAUUUCGCUUUGGGAGAGGAGAGGCAUGGGAAAGAGACAAGAGAAGAAGUAGCCAUUCUCGUCCGUGAAGCUCCAGCUUUCUCAGAGAAAGAGAGAGAGAGAGAGAGAGAGAGAGAGCUCUCAAGAACUAUCUCUUCACCGAACUUUUCUAUCUGAAAUUUUACUGUUUUACCCUCAUCGUUUUUUUUUAAAAUAUUUGCAGCCAACUGAAAACCAUGUCUAAAUAUGAACCGGUUUUGUCUAAUUAUCAUAUGAAAAAAACAACAUUUUUUGCAUAAAGUAUUUUUUGUCUUAAGUAUUUUAAAAUUUGAAAAGAUAACCAAGUUUCUAAUGAUCAUCACACUUUUGUGGAAGAGAAACAUUCUUGUUGAAGUGUUAUGCAAUUUUCAUCUACUGUCUACAUCAAUGACAUUGUCUGAUUCACCAAUGUUCCCUCUGAUAGAGAGCCAGACAAAGGAGUUGAAGAGUUUUUAUUUUCUUUGUUUAAGAUCAAGAGACUAGUAUUAUUUACGUUUCCAUCCGAUAACUGAACUAAUCCGUCUAGGAUUUGGUUUAGUUGUUUUGGAUUUUUGGUACUAUGCUCGUAAAUCUCAUUCGAGUUUUACUAAUUUUUAGGCCGGAUUAGUUAGUAGGCCGGAUUUGCAUAUGUUCAUUCUGGAUUCGGUUCGGAUCAUAUUAUAACCAAUGUUUGAAAUCACCCAAAAUAUAUUUUAAAAAUUUAACAAAAAAAAUACUCAAAAUAUAUAAAUUAUUUAAACUUCUAAUUAAAACAUUGUUAAGCUACCUAAACUAAUUAAAACAGUAUUCAAAACAACAAAUAAAAUAAACUACAAAAAUAUUUAAAAUAUCUAAAUUACCUUUAUAUAUAUAUAUAUUAACAUAUUUAACUAAUAUUGGAGAUCCUAGUUCGGAUUUCGAUCCGGUUCGGGUUGUAUUCAAACACGAAAGUAAUACGCUCGAGAGUUAUACGGAGACUAAUCCCACAAGAGAGAGACACAAUCCCAUCCAAUGGAACCAAAUAAGCAAAACAUCUAAUUCUAACAACGAACUACAAACAAAAGUACAACCCGCAGAAACUAAAACGCUCCACCUAAAAAGAACUGAAGCACACUAACCAAAGAGCUUAACCAAAGCCCACAGCUGCUGAGAUGGUGUAUAACUGAACAAGAAACGAGACGAAAGAAACCAGCAGCACCAGCAAACUAGAGCACAAAGGGUAACAAGACCGCAAAGCUAUAUGGAGGAGCGCUGCACUCUGACUAGAGCACAAGCCAAGGAGAGACGUCAUUCAGGAACGUGGACACAUUGAUCCAGGAAUAAAGAUAUUAUAAUGUAGUCGAAUUGACUCGCUGCAGUGGUACUCAUUAUCCUGGGGUGUUAUUAGAUUAUAAUUUGUAAUAAAUCUAGUGUUAUUCAAUUAAUGGUCUAAUUGGUGAUCAUUAUAGAAAUAUUAGGAAUGAAUAAGAAAAAAAUACAGAGAAAUAAAAUUAUAGAAAUGAAAAUAAAGAUUAUUCUUUAUCAAUUUUCAUGAGUAACAAAUUUGUUUUGUAUUCCUUUAGAAUAAAAGGAAUGAAAAAAAAUUUGGAAUAGUAAAAAAUGCACUAUUCUCUUUUAUUUCUUGGUCAGCAGGUAGACUCUAUUUUUCAAAAGUAUGUUUUUUUGACAACAACUUUUCAAAAGUAUGUUAAAGUCUUGUGUUAUUCAUUUAUUUGUUUAUAAUAGUAUACUAGAUUAUGACCCGUCUUUUGAAAUGGCGGGUAUAUUUUUUGGUUUACAAGUGUUUUUAAUAAUAACUAGAAUUGUAUGUAUGAUUUUAUGUGUUAUAUUUAUACAUAGUUUAUGUUUGUAUUUAUCUAAAUUAUCUAUUCAAAUUAUUUUUCGAUAUAAACCGUAAAAACUAUAAUUGUAAUUCAAAAUACAUUUACUGCUACAAAUACUUUGUAGGUUUUAGAGAAUAACCCGUAAAAGCUGCAAUGAUAAUUUAAGAUGCUUAAAAUACUGGAGAUAUUCAAAAGAUAUAUAUAUUUUUUCACUCAAAUAUGUUAAAUUUUUAUGUAUUUGGUCAUGUAUUAUAAAUUUUUUGUCAUUUGUUAUUUUUAUUAUUGAAUUUGGUAAACUUUAAGAUAUAUUUUAGUUUUAAAAUUUGGAGAAAUUUAACAUUGGAAAUUAACUAAGAAGAAGAAGUGAUAUAGAAGUUACAUAUUCAUAAAUCAGACAUUUGACAAUCCGAUAGAGAAUUCUCAGAAACAAAAAUUCAAAAAGCAAAAAGGACAGAUAAUUGGAAACGAAAUGAGUGAAGAUUAUUAUAUGAAUGUUUUAGACAACGAAAUUAAGCACCGGUGAAGCUUGGUGGCUUGUAGGCGAUGAAACUGAUGCACUGGACUUGACGGUUGUUGUCGAAUCCGAUGAUUCUAAUGAAAGCGUUAGGGUAUUCCGUCUUGCACUCUUGCACUUCCUUCAACACUUGAGCAGAGUCAGUGCAUCCGAACAAAGGAAGUUUCCACAUUGUCCAGUAACGUCCGUCGUAGUAUCCGGG